rnacentral:tRNA from 1 species
AUUUAUAACAUUUCUAAUUUAACAUUACAUUUUCACUGUAAAAAUAAUAUUUCCAUUAUUUAUAAAUA